rnacentral:hammerhead_ribozyme from 1 species
AUCCAGCUAACGAGUCCCAAAUAGGACGAAACACGCGUCCUGGGU